GAGACGUGUUCGUUCUCAGGAGGAAGCUGCAUUGAAGAUGAUGAAAGGAACAUGUCUGAACAUGCAGGAUCUUCAGGAGAAUUCAUCCUCAACAUACAGAAUUCUGAAGACUAUACACCUUCAAGAGCAUCAUCAUUUUCUAUAGUUUCAGA